UCGAAUGUGCAACAAGAUUGGAUAUUAUCUUCUUAAAAAUGUAGUAGUUGUAUACAUUUAAGCGAGAAAUUGCUAAAAAAAUCAUAGUUGAUGCAAUAAUAUAUAAUAAAUAAAUUUAUUAUUAUUAAAGAACGAAGAGUUGUAAUCAAAUAAAUUUUGUUAUUAGUUGAUGCAAUAUCCAGUGAAAUUUUUUUAGUCCUUAAUUUCAGCCCUCGCAACAAAAAAAAUUCCUGGAUACCCCUGUUGCUAAGAAUACAUUUAACCUGCUUGAAGGAGGCCUCAAGAUUUUCAUCUAUUAAGAAAUACUGUUUUGCUUAAAAAGAAAGUUCCCACUGUAGUUCAAGCGUAAGACAAAAAGAUAUAUUAUUUAUUUUAUUAUAGUCAUGGCUUCACAACUCCUCUCAAACUUAUUAAGUAUCGAACAAAAAUACAUUCAUGAAAAUUCAAUGACAGUAUUGCAAAAGUAGUGCCUUGCAACUGUCUAAAUACACAAUAAUAAUUGAAUAAAACAAACAAAGAGAAAAGGAGUGGCACUUCUUAAUUUCUUUUCUAAAAGACAAAAUACGCGGAAACUUUGCUUCCGUUGUUUUCCUUUUGGGUCAUUGCGAAGUGCAUCUUCCUCCUGUCCACUAUGUUCUUAUUUGCAAAUAUACUUCAAAUCCUACAUAAGUACAUACACAUGGAUAUAUCAGUCCCUGUCAUUAAUAUUGAUAAAUCAGAGAGAUAUGUAUACUUUAGAUUAUUAGGGAGAAAAGUGAAACUCAAGUAGUGUUAAUAAUAAUUAAUUUAAAAAGAGAAAUAAUGAAUAUAAUAUAUGAUAUGAUAGGAGUUGAGAAAUAUGUAUAAAACAAAUAUAAUAUAUAUAUAUAUAUAUAUAUAUAUAUGUAAGAUUAUCACAACUCUUGAAAUGGGUAAUGCAACCAAGCAUUUAAACUAAAAUAAUUUUGUUGAAAUUAUGUUUUAUUUAUUUAUUUAUACUAGAGAAAUAGAGACGGCUUUCUCUACCAUGAAAAAAAAAAACAUGCAGUUCAUAAUAUCACCAAUGUGAUUAUUGAGAGAGAUUCAUAUUUGGCCAUGGAUUGGGUAAAUUGAAUAGAAAAUUACAUCAAUUUGAAAAUGAUAGUCUCGAGGUUUGUUGUUAAUAAUAUAAUAUCUUUUGGUUUAAAAAAGUUAGGAGUUUAAUUUUCUUUGCGUAUUAAUUUUAACACGUAACAACUAUAUUAUAAAUAAUAUGUAUUAAAUUUUAAUCAUAAAAUAUGGUUUACAUGGGAAAAUUGGUUUUUAAUAUGGUUAACCAUGGAACUGCUGAAUAGACAGAUACAGGGCCGGUCCCGACAUUUUGGAGGCCCUGGGUUAAUAAUAAAAAUGGACCACUAAAUUUUUUUUGGAGAAAGUUUAAUAGAAUCACUAAGCCAAAAAAAGGGCUUUUUACAGCGCUUCGAACCUCUCGCCGCUGUUAAAUAGUAUACAGCGGUACAAAGCGCUGUAAAAGAUUGACUAUUUACAGCGCUUUUUUAAGUAAAAACGCUGUAAAAAGUAUUCGAAUUUUU
rnacentral:lncRNA from 1 species